UACUUCAGUGACAUGACAUCUGAGAAUGGAACUGGCGUCACAGUCAUCAGACACGACUCGGAGGAGCAGGAAGAAGUCGUGGGCUACGAAGGAGCUGGCGAAUAUGUUCUGAGACUUAACUACAACGUCUCCCUCGACCACGCCAUCGCCAUCAUCGAUGCCAGUGAGAACUGCCGACAGUUUGUACAAUGGAAGUGCAAGGCCGCCUUGAUUCACAACCCCAAUGCCAAUGGUGUCAUCACUACCGGGUGGCGCAACAGGACUGGCGGAAUUGCAGACUACUUUGGUGAUGCCACUCCCGGAAGUGGUAUGUGUACCUGUGGCAUGACUGGGUCAUGUGCAGACCCGACAAGGCAUGCAACUGCGACAAGAACGACGAAGUCUGGAGGGAAGACUCCGGCUACCUGUCCUACAAGCCGGACCUGCCUGUCACUGAGUUCCUGGCGGGGGACACAGGUGGAAUGAUGGAGGGAGGAUAUAAAACAAUCGGACCUUUGUUCUGUUGGGGCGUACUUACCUAGACACCGGCUGUCAGUUUCCCAGCCAAUCAGCGAUCAGAAGACUCAGAAAACAUCACGUGACAUAACCUCGGACCGCUCAUAAUCUAGGCUACAAUAACAAAACACAUGAUCACAAUCACUUCUAGGUAAUGGGCGCUCCGAGGCAUAGUCACGUGGUGUCAAAAUUUUUGUAUGAUUAAAUUUUAGAAUUUGUAUCAAAAUCACAAGAAAUUUGUGUAUGUAUUUUCGGUUAGGACAGCACGUGUAGUCUGUAAAAGCUAUUUCAGAUACGAUAUUGGUGAGUAUCUAGAUGCGUUCAGAAUAGUUCUAGGCGCUGUAGGUCUGAUACAAAUAUGCCCUAUUUCUUAGACUCCCUCAUACAAUGUUGCUUUUUUCGAUAUCCUCAGGCGGCGAUGACGAGGCCGGAUACGCAACAGUUGGCAGAAUUCUUUGCACAGGCGUUGCAACCUGACAUGCGCAGGUGACGACGGAACCGAGGCGGGCGCCUUUAAGGUCGGCCCUGUGGAAUGCUACGGGACUUCCUCCGCGGAUGUCAGCGAUACCUAAUCGACCAUUCUUGAUCUGUUUCUCUCUUUCUUCGCAGCUGAUGCUCUUUGCUACAUUUGAGUUAAAACUGUUUUCUUAACUAGGUCUUAUUUUGUUCCCUUUACGUGCUAUUAAUUUGGAAUGGAGACUGUCCAGUUGAUAGGGAGCUUAUGGUGUAAGAUAUGGAGUCUGCUUCUUGCAGAGCGGAAAGGAUUGCAGUUUGCAAGACGAGAGAUUCCAUAUGUUGUUGAAACAUGUUGACUGUUGAUGUUAUUUUUGUUACUGUAAACUUUGUCUAUCUAAAUAUAUCGAUGUUGCAAAGU